rnacentral:lncRNA from 1 species
AACCUCCUUCCUCAGCAUAAACAACAAAUGUGCAACCUAUGUCAGUCCCAUUCCCUGCUUUUUUCCACACAGUCCCUCUUUACCCACUGAUUUUACAUCUGGGAAGAGGGGGGAUGGGAGAGGAAGGAGCAGGUUCAGCACUGUUCUGGGCCUGGGGUGUCUAGGUGGGGAGCAGGGUCCUUGGGGCCACUGUGACCCUGGGUUCCUCAUCUCCCCCCAGGCAGCCCAGCUGGAGGCAGCCCGGCCUCCCCGGCUCCGCUACCUGCUGGUAGUUUCUACACGAGAAGGAGAAGGUCUGAGCCAGGAUGAGACAGUCCUCCUGGGCGUGGAUUUCCCUGACAGCAGGUUCGAGCAGGGAGGGGAAAGGAGGGGCAAAGAGGUGAGGGACAGGGGGGACAAUGGCUUUCCCUCUGUCCCCUGCCAGCUCCCCCAGCUGCACCCUGGGCCUGGUCUUGCCCCUCUGGAGUGACACCCAGGUGUACUUAGAUGGAGACGGGUAAGCAAUGGCAACUGGAGGUGGGGGCAGGAGGGUGGAAUAACUGAGUGUGACGGAUGUGACAGGGCCUGGGCACCGGGGUACAGUAGAACUUUAGGCUGGGACUCUGGGUCCUGCUCCCAGCUCCACGUCAGAUUCACCGUGAUCCUGAGCAAGGCACCUGACUCCUGGGUCUCGGCUUCCCGUAUCCGGCAAAAGGAUAGGUUCUCCGUAGCAGAGCCUGGAGUCUGGCCUCACCUGCGCCUGGUCUCCCGCAGGGGCUUCAGCGUGACGUCUGGUGGGCAAAGCCGGAUCUUCAAGCCCAUCUCCAUCCAGACCAUGUGGUAAGGACAGAGACUGCCUGGACUCAGGCCAGCCUCUCCUUCGAAGGAGGCUGCAGGGCCUGGGGAAGGGCAGCAAGGGAACAGUGUGACCCAGCCUCUCCUCCUGUCUCAGGGCCACGCUCCAGGUAUUGCACCAAGCAUGUGAGGCAGCUCUAGGCAGCGGCCUUGUACCGGGUGGCAGUGCCCUCACCUGGGCCAGCCACUACCAGGAGAGACUGAACUCCGAACAGAGCUGCCUCAAUGAGUGGACGACUAUGGCCGACCUGGAGUCUCUGCGGCCUCCCAGCGCAGAGCCUGGCCGGUCAGUGUGUGGAGGGGAGGGACUGGGUGGAGGGGAAGGCAGGAUAAUGCAGUGGGGGGCAUGGUGGAGAGGGGAAAGGGCCCCUUGACUGAGGGGCUCUGCUCCCAGGUCCUCAGAACAGGAGCAGAUGGAGCAGGCGAUCCGUGCUGAGCUGUGGAAAGUGUUGGAUGCCAGUGACCUGGAGAGUGUCACUUCCAAAGAGGUGGGCAGGGGGCCCGGGGACCGAGUCCCCUCCAGCAGGGGCCACAAGCUUGCCUUUCCUGGGAACCCUCCCCACCUUGCCUGUCUCCAGUCCUGAGCCAUUCCUGGAUGCCUUGGCCUUGGCCCUAAUCCAUCUAGAUGGGAUGGGGUGCUGUCCUCAGAGGUCCCAGAGGGAAGGUGGCAAGUUGGGCACUAGGAGAGCCCCAGCCUCUCUUGCCCUGGGCUCUGCCUGCAGAUCCGCCAGGCUCUGGAGCUGCGCCUGGGGCUCCCCCUCCAGCAGUACCGUGACUUCAUCGACAACCAGAUGCUGCUGCUGGUGGCACAGCGGGACCGAGCCUCCCGCAUCUUCCCCCACCUCUACCUGGUGAGCUUCAGCCAGGCCUGGGCCAUGGGGACCGCUGGCAGCUGCGAGGGCGGUGGGCCAGGAGCAGAGGCUGGAGGAGAGGAGAAAUGUGCUGUUCCCUCUCUCCCAGGGCUCAGAGUGGAACGCAGCAAACCUGGAGGAGCUGCAGAGGAACAGGUAGGGCUACGAGCCCCUCGGGCCACCCACCCCAUCUUGCCUUCUCCUGGCCUCCCCACAUUGGCUGGUAGCCAGCUUCAAAAACCCCUGGACCACCCUCAGCAGCUGCUAGCUCUGCUUCUAACUCUGUCCUGGGGCUGUUGCCCUGGUGUGGGCUCCCAGGUGGGGACAGGAGACCCGCUGGCCAGCCCCCACCCACUCUCCUCCCCCCUCCACACUGCGAAACAAGGACAGAAACAAAGGGCCUCAGCCACGCCAAGACGAGAAGCAGCAGCGCAUACUGCUGUAACUGCCUUGGACAAGCAGAAAAAGGCUCCUCUUGAAUGCGCCUGUGGGCCCAGCUACUCGAGAGGCUGAGGCAGGAGGAUCGCUUGAGCCCUGGAGAUUGAGGCCGCAGUGAGCCGUGAUCACGCCACUGCACUCCAGCCUGGGCAACAGAGAGAGACCCUGUCUCUAAAAAAUAAGAAAAAAGAAAGAGAGAAAAAGCCUUUUCUCCACCUUGCCCUGUCUCAGGGAAGAAGGAACUGCCCUUCUCCCCGUGGGGACCUGGCUGCCUGCUCUGACAGGUACCUGUCAUCUGCCCACCAUGGGCUUCUGGGACCUGCUGUAGCCCCUGCCACCCACUGCUGCAGACCCACCCACUCUCAGCUUAGCUCAAAAGCUGUUCUCUAACUCAUUUCUGAGAAUAACGGAAGGGCUGGAGUUGCAGUUGGCCCAGCUGUCUGGACCAGAUGGGGAAACAAGCCCAGCAGGGCAAAAUGAUUGGUCCAAGGUCGCAGCCAGGUGACAGCUGGGUCACUUCUCCUCCCACUGUCACUGCUGCCUCCAUCUGACUUGAAACUCAGAGCUAAAGCGAGGCCCAGGGGCUGCCAGGUCCGAUGGCCAAUGGGCCUGGUACCUCUGCCCACGUCAGCCUGGCCUUGGGCCCUCUGGGACAGGGUCACCCACAUCUUGAACAUGGCCCGGGAGAUUGACAACUUCUACCCUGAGCGCUUCACCUACCACAAUGUGCGCCUCUGGGAUGAGGAGUCGGCCCAGCUGCUGCCGCACUGGAAGGAGACGCACCGCUUCAUUGAGGCUGCAAGGUCGGUCUCCUGGCUUUGCUGCCUGCCCCACUGUGGCUUCAAGCGGCCCCCAGUGCCCUCCUCCUGCCCACUCUGCCAUCAGCUGUGCCAUUCCUUCCAGCCCUCAGUGUCCUUCCCUCCUUCUCCUCUACUCUUAGUUGGUUGUGAGCCCUUCACCUGCCCUCCCCUGCAGGAGGCGGGAUCCUUCAUGGUGAGGGGAGGGUGCUGAACCUGACCUGCUUCCACAGAGCACAGGGCACCCACGUGCUGGUCCACUGCAAGAUGGGUGUCAGCCGCUCGGCGGCCACAGUGCUGGCCUAUGCCAUGAAGCAGUAUGAAUGCAGCCUGGAGCAGGCCCUGCGCCACGUGCAGGAGCUCCGGCCCAUCGCCCGCCCUAACCCCGGCUUCCUGCGCCAGCUGCAGAUCUACCAGGGCAUCCUGACGGCCAGGUAUGGGAUGGGAGCGAGUGGCAGGGGGUGAGUAGGUGGGUUUGCUGGGGGUGGCUGCUGGGUCACUCAGAGCUGACUCAGGGCCACCUCCUCACCAGCCUCCUUCACAGUCAGCCCAGUAUCUCUUAGCACCCGGCAUCUCCAGCCUGUCCCAUGAGUACCCCUGAAGACGGGGACCAGCCACGUCCUGGGCCCCUGAGAGCAGCUGAGAUCCAGUGAGGGCAGGCGGAGGCACUGUAGGUGGCCAACCGGACCCAGGCCUUCCAGGAGCAGGAGCAGGGGCAGGGGCAGGGGCAGGGAGAGCCCUGCAUUUCCUCUACGCCCAGGUUC